GCCUGGCACCUGGGAACAUUCAGAUCUACUGCUGUCAUAUUUGUGGACCUCUCAGACUGCCACCAUAUGUUUGGAGCUGAGAGAGGAGUUUCCUGAUUUGUAAAGAUAAAAAGGAAGGAAAGUGGGCUGCAAACCCAUCCCGUACUUCUUGUUUAGACAGGGGUGGCAUGCAGGCCAGGUCAGGAAGAACCCUCCCUGAGGGCAGAGCUGAGGCAAACCUUCAACCAGAGGAUUAUCCUCGUCUUUGGUGGACACAGGAGGAAACAGAGGGCAAGAGAUGAUUUUGCGAUAUAGCCUAGUUUGGCUUGGAAGUCAUUGUGGAGCCCAGCCUGGCUUUGAACCCAUGAUCCUCCUGACCCAGCUUCCUGAAUUCUGGGAUUGCAGAUGUGUGCUGCUCUGCCUGGCUGAAUUUCAUUCUAUUUGUGGCUGAAAACUUCCCAGUGUUUAUAUAUUGAUUGUCUUUACUGCUUCAUCUGCUGGUGAAUAUUUAGUUUUCUUUUACCCCUUGGCCAUUGUGGCUGUUGCUGCAAUAAACACGAAUAUGUAAGUGUC